AGAUGCAAUCAUGCCAACUCACAUGCAUCGGAUCCUAUCUGAACUCCGAAGUUAAGUGAGUCUGGGCGAGUGUAGUACUAGGAUGGGUGACCUCCUGGGAAAUCCUCGUGUUGCAUCCC